rnacentral:rRNA from 1 species
ACCCGACUGCUAUCGGGGUGGGGCUAAGCCAUGGGAGUCGCACGACCCGCCGCUGCGGGGAGUGGCGGACGGCUGAGUAACACGUGGCUAACCUACCCUCGGGACGGGGAUAACCCCGGGAAACUGGGGCUAAUCCCCGAUAGGCGAGGAGGCCUGGAAUGGUUCCUCGCCCAAAGGGGGCACCGGGGGUUAUCGCCGGUGUCGCCGCCCGAGGAUGGGGCUGCGGCCCAUCAGGUAGUUGGCGGGGUAAUGGCCCGCCAAGCCGAUAACGGGUAGGGGCCGUGAGAGCGGGAGCCCCCAGAUGGGCACUGAGACAAGGGCCCAGGCCCUACGGGGUGCACCAGGCGCGAAACCUCCGCAAUGCGGGCAACCGUGACGGGGUCACCCCGAGUGCCACCCACGAGGUGGCUUUUCCCCGCUGUAGGAAGGCGGGGGAAUAAGCGGGGGGCAAGACUGGUGUCAGCCGCCGCGGUAAUACCAGCCCCGCGAGUGGUCGGGAUGUUUACUGGGCCUAAAGCGCCCGUAGCCGGCCCGGUAAGUCUCUGCCUAAAGCCCCGGGCUCAACCCGGGGAGUGGCGGAGAUACUGCCGGGCUAGGGGGCGGGAGAGGCCGAGGGUACUCCCGGGGUAGGGGCGAAAUCCUAUAAUCCCGGGAGGACCACCAGUGGCGAAGGCGCUCGGCUGGAACGCGCCCGACGGUGAGGGGCGAAGGCCGGGGGAGCAAACCGGAUUAGAUACCCGGGUAGUCCCGGCUGUAAACGAUGCGGGCUAGGUGUUGGGUGGGCGGUAGAGCCCGCCCAGUGCCGCAGGGAAGCCGUUAAGCCCGCCGCCUGGGGAGUACGGCCGCAAGGCUGAAACUUAAAGGAAUUGGCGGGGGAGUACCACAAGGGGUGGAGCCUGCGGCUUAAUUGGAGUCAACGCC